CUGGAAUCGCUAGUAAUCGCGAAUCAGAAUGUCGCGGUGAAUACGUUCCCGGGUCUUGUACACACCGCCCGUCACACCAUGGGAGUCGGAUAUGCCCGAAGUCAGUGGCCCAACCAUAUGGAGGGAGCUGCCGAAGGUGGAGCCGAUAACUGGGGUGAAGUCGUAACAAGGUAUC
rnacentral:rRNA from 1 species